rnacentral:rRNA from 1 species
CUAGUACGAGAGGACCGGGAAGGACGCACCUCUGGUGUACCAGUUAUCGUGCCUACGGUAAACGCUGGGUAGCCAAGUGCGGAGAGGAUAACUGCUGAAAGCAUAUAAGUAGUAAGCCCACCCCAAGAUGAGUGCUCUCUCCUCCGACUUCCCUAGAGCCUCCGGUAUCACAACCGAGACAGCGGCGGGUUCUCCACCCAU